CGGAGAGUGGCGCAGUGGUAGCGCACACGCAUGGGGUGCGUGGGGCCGCGGGUUCGAAUCCCGCCUCUCCGA
rnacentral:tRNA from 1 species